ACUCCUACGGGAGGCAGCAGUGGGGAAUAUUGCACAAUGGGCGCAAGCCUGAUGCAGCCAUGCCGCGUGUAUGAAGAACGGCCCUCGGGUUGUAAAGUACUUUCAGCAGUGAGGAAGGUGGGUAUGUUAAUAGCAUAUUCAUUUGUACGUUAGCUGCAGAAGAAGCACCGGCUAACUCCGUGCCAGCAGCCGCGGUAAUACGGAGGGUGCGAGCGUUAAUCGGAAUUACUGGGCGUAAAGCGCAUGCAGGUUGGUUUGUUAAGUCAGAUGUGAAAGCCCGGGGCUCAACCUCGGAAUUGCAUUUGAAACUGGCAAACUAGAGUACUGUAGAGGGGGUAGAAUUUCAGGUGUAGCGGUGAAAUGCGUAGAGAUCUGAAGGAAUACCGGUGGCGAAGGCGGCCCCUGGACAGAUACUGACACUCAGAUGCGAAAGCGUGGGAGCAAACAGGAUUAGAUACCCCGUGGUAGCGACU
rnacentral:rRNA from 1 species